GCUAAUAUCGCACCCGAGGCAUCCACGAGGAAAGGAAAAGAAAAAGUGGACGAGGAAUAGACACGGGAAUUACGGUUGUAGAAGUCAAGUACCGAACCAGCAUCCAAAGCCAGACCCGACUUCAGCAAACUUUUGGUGAUGUAUAAUUUUCCUUGGUAAUGUGGCAUGUACAUAGGACAUGUAUAAAGGUUACUAUGUUUUUAAUAUAAAUGGUUGAAAAUGUUAGUAUUAUAAGUUUAUGAAUUAUAAUGAAAGAAGUUUAUCUAUAUUUAUUUAAUUUAGUAUAUUGUUAAAUUUAAAUUGAUAUUAUGUUGAUUAAGUUGAUUAGAAAGUAUUUGGAAUAGAAAUUGAGAAUGUGAAAUGAAUUGGUUGUGAUUUGAAAAUGAAAUGGUUUUAAUUGCAGGG